GUGGUAGUGUGGUGAGAUGGUAGAGAAGGAGGGAUUGGAAUGCAGCCGAGUGAGGAAUUCCGGCCCCUCCCGCAUAUUUAUCUGAGCGCUGGUCCGCGGAACUCCGCACCAAGUGAGAGCCCCUUUUAUAGUGCGCCGUUCAUAGAAGAGAUAAAAGAGAGGUAUACAUACACGUAUCUACAAAGCCAGUGUCAAACCACUAUGCGCGUAGAUCUAUUCAGGAAUGCCCGCGGUGCUUGAUAAUUGAGCGCAUUCGCGAGGUUUUCUAGCGAAUAAGCGCCAAGCUCGAUCGACUGCGAAACGUCGGCGUCGUAUCGUGUCGUUGCGAUUUACAAAGGGACAUCGCAUCUAUGGGCUCGUGAAUUUCUAUCGCGAUUUAGACGUUUAUUCCGUAGUUUCAAAAUUUUGCAGCUGACGAGAUACGAGAACCCACGAUCCACAGCGUGUGAAUCCAACGCUCUAGCCACUAGGUUGAUCGUGAUUUGUAAAUAUCCCUGUAAAUGGAAAUGUCCCACCGUUGGAAAGAGAAGGGAAACCGCAUACCUUCCUUGGCAACGGGACAUCGAGUUAUCGGUAUGUACACCAUGAUAAUGGAGUCGCAUUCCAUUUAUAUCAGCAGCACUCGCCACUGCAACCUCCUCUCUUCUCCCCACGCCUUUGCUCCAUAAUCAUUUUAGGACAUUUCACGAAAAUCACGCAAAACAAUAUGAAAUUGAAGCUAAUUUUGUGUCAAAUUAAUGCACUAAACAUUUUAUUUGCGUAUUAUAGUUCUUGACUUGAAGGUAAAAAAAAUCAACAAAAAUUACUGUAAUUCAGUUUUAUAAUGGUUAUUAAAAUAAAAAAUUAAUAUCACCUUCCAUCAAAAAAAAGAAAUUUACAUGUCUCCCUUUUCCCUCUAGAAGUCAGCCAAGAAAAUUUUGUCGAGUAUCAAAAAAUUAAGAUAACAACGUUGUAUCGUUUAAUUGUAUAAAAAAUGAAUUGCGUAUCUUGAUUAAUUUCUAAGAAAAGAUUUUGUACAAGAGACACCCUGUAUAUGUAUAGUUGCGGAGCAAAAGCGUAAGCCUAUUUGUGUAUCGCCCGGUAGAGAUGGAAUCCUGAUCCCUUCGCGUGGUCGUUAACAUUGUUUGCCCCUGGAAGAGAGCCGUAGGAAUGUGAAAAGCUACGCUGGCAAAUGGCGAGCAACAACGCCGUAAGGCCGAUCGUGCUCCUUACAGCACUCUCUAUUUUCCUCUACGGUAUUUCCGAGGCAAAUCCUUUCCAGCGUUCACGUGAGAAUUUCGCGUUAAAUGUUCCGCGAGCAACCUCCACGGAGGCCUGACAUCAAUGAAAAUACUUGCACCGCGAACCUUUAACGCCGGAAUAAACACGUUCGAGGGAAUUUUACUUGGAUGGAUAGGAAUACUCGAGCGAAAGAGUUAGAUCGUCUGCAUUUCAUCUCGCAACGAGUAAGUUCCGAGACCCUACGCAUGGCGCUGCCGCUGGAAGUUUUAGAGAUACGUGGGAUAGAGUUAGGCUGGGAUUAUUUUAAGGAUUUACUUGGAUAUAGGAUCCUAGACUACGAUUACUUCAAAUUUGACGAUAUUGGUUCGGAUAGGUUUCUUCUUUGGAAAAUGUUCAAGAGAAAAAUAAGAGAUACGAUAUUAGCAAACUUCAAUUGUAAUGGUAAUCUAGGGUUUCGCCCAAUUUUAAUACUAUCUAGCGGUUCCAUAAUCAACUACUCU